GAUGAACGCUAGCGGCAGGCCUAAUACAUGCAAGCCGAACGGCAAUCCCGACGGCAACGUCGGGACUAGAGUGGCGUAAGGGUGCGUAACACGUAUGGAAUCUACCCGCAACAGGAGGAUAGCUCUCCGAAAGGGGAAUUAAUCCUGCAUAGGAUUUAGGGGCGGCAUCGCCUUUAGAUUAAACUUUCAAGGGUUGUGGAUGAUCAUGCGCAUGAUUAGUUAGUUGGCGGGGUAAGGG
rnacentral:rRNA from 1 species